rnacentral:lncRNA from 1 species
AAUCUAUCUUCAUCUUGGCUGGCAGCCUAGAUUGAGCCCUGGGACUGAUCUUCCCGUUGGCUUUGCUACAACAGUACUCACAGUGUAAGGUCAGCAGGUGGCAUAGCAAAAUUCCUCACCGAGAUGACUGGACAACCUCUCGACCAGAUCGUUCCAGCGGAGCGAUUAAAAGCGUCUUUGGAAUGAAUUCCUUUGAAGUAGUUUUAGUGCUCUAAUUGAGCGAGCCGUGGAU